UAUGAUUGUCAUAAAAAAACAGUAGCAGAUGUGGAUGACGGGAGGGAGGUAGAGAGCUGGGCAGCAUGGUCAAUAUCGACUUUAGUCUUUCUAUCUUUUUUCAGAAGAGACGUCGUCGACUAGCUCUGAUCGAUCAGAUGUCGGUUUCUCUCAACCAGACCCCAGCGAUAUUGGAAGUUGUUCUCCACGGGCGGGUCUCAGCGACGAAGCCAGUCAAAACCAAAGGACUAUCUCCGAAGAAGGCGGGUCUGGUAGGCUCAGCCAUUGGCCCUCCUCUUCAGCGAUCGGUAGUGGACGAAAACGAAAACAAGCGAAUACAGGAACAAACGACACCUGCAGGAAAAAGCAAGCCCGUCGUGAGGGAUUCUCCCAUCCAAACAGUUCUCCACAGCCAGGACCCAGCGGUUAUAACCCGGGACGGCCGACAACAACACCCUCACCAACACCAGGUGAAAUAAGCCAACAUUUCAACGGGGCCUUAACAACGAUCGACGUGCCCGUCCCACCAGCAGACAACGGCGACAUUGCAUCAUAUUUCAACAACAACA